CCUACGGGCGGCAGCAGUGAGGAAUAUUGGUCAAUGGACGAGAGUCUGAACCAGCCAAGUAGCGUGAAGGAUGACUGCCCUAUGGGUUGUAAACUUCUUUUAUAUGGGAAUAAAAUGUUCCACGUGUGGGAUUUUGUAUGUACCAUAUGAAUAAGGAUCGGCUAACUCCGUGCCAGCAGCCGCGGUAAUACGGAGGAUCCGAGCGUUAUCCGGAUUUAUUGGGUUUAAAGGGAGCGUAGGUGGAUUGUUAAGUCAGUUGUGAAAGUUUGCGGCUCAACCGUAAAAUUGCAGUUGAAACUGGCAGUCUUGAGUACAGUAGAGGUGGGCGGAAUUCGUGGUGUAGCGGUGAAAUGCUUAGAUAUCACGAAGAACUCCGAUUGCGAAGGCAGUUCACUGGACUGCAACUGACACUGAGGCUCGAAAGUGUGGGUAUCAAACAGGAUUAGAUACCCCUGUAGC
rnacentral:rRNA from 1 species